rnacentral:rRNA from 1 species
ACAGGGAUUGCCUCAGUAACGGCGAGUGAAGCGGCAACAGCUCAAAUUUGAAAUCUGGCGGCCUCUGGGCCGUCCGAGUUGUAAUUUGAAGAGGAUGCUUUUGGCGAGGCGCCUUCCGAGUGCCCUGGAACGGGACGCCACAGAGGGUGAGAGCCCCGUAUGGUUGGACGCCGAGCCUCUGUAAAGCUCCUUCGACGAGUCGAGUAGUUUGGGAAUGCUGCUCAAAAUGGGAGGUAAACCCCUUCUAAAGCUAAAUACUGGCCAGAGACCGAUAGCGCACAAGUAGAGUGAUCGAAAGAUGAAAAGCACUUUGAAAAGAGAGUUAAAUAGCACGUGAAAUUGUUGAAAGGGAAGCGCUUGCGACCAGACUUGUGCCCGUCGAAUCAGCCGCCGCUCGCCGGCGGCGCACUUCGGCGGGCUCAGGCCAGCAUCAGUUCGCUGCAGGGGGAGAAAGGCGGCGGGAAUGUGGCUCUUCGGAGUGUUAUAGCCCGCCGCGCAAUACCCCUCGGCGGACUGAGGACCGCGCAUCUGCAAGGAUGCUGGCGUAAUGGUCGUCAGCGACCCGUCUUGAAACACGGACCAAGGAGUCGUCCUAAUAUGCGAGUGUUCGGGUGUAAAACCCCUGCGCGUAAUGAAAGUGAACGGAGGUGAGAGCUUCGGCGCAUCAUCGACCGAUCCUGAUGUUCUCGGAUGGAUUUGAGUAAGAGCAUAUUGGGCCGGACCCGAAAGAAGGUGAACUAUGCCUGUAUAGGGUAAAGCCAGAGGAAACUCUGGUGGAGGCUCGCAGCGGUUCUGACGUGCAAAUCGAUCGUCAAAUAUGGGCAUGGGGGCGAAAGACUAAUCGAA